GGGAUUGUGGCUCAGUGGUAGAGCACUUAUCUCACAUAUAUGAGGCAUUGGAUUUGAUCCUC
rnacentral:tRNA from 1 species